rnacentral:rRNA from 2 species
UGAUCGCUACUUUCUGAUGCAGUCGAACGAGUUCUCGUUGAUGAUCGGUGCUUGCACCGAGAUUCAACAUGGAACGAGUGGCGGACGGGUGAGUAACACGUGGGUAACCUGCCCUUAAGUGGGGGAUAACAUUUGGAAACAGAUGCUAAUACCGCAUAGAUCCAAGAACCGCAUGGUUCUUGGCUGAAAGAUGGCGUAAGCUAUCGCUUUUGGAUGGACCCGCGGCGUAUUAGCUAGUUGGUGAGGUAAUGGCUCACCAAGGCGAUGAUACGUAGCCGAACUGAGAGGUUGAUCGGCCACAUUGGGACUGAGACACGGCCCAAACUCCUACGGGAGGCAGCAGUAGGGAAUCUUCCACAAUGGACGCAAGUCUGAUGGAGCAACGCCGCGUGAGUGAAGAAGGCUUUCGGGUCGUAAAACUCUGUUGUUGGAGAAGAAUGGUCGGCAGAGUAACUGUUGUCGGCGUGACGGUAUCCAACCAGAAAGCCACGGCUAACUACGUGCCAGCAGCCGCGGUAAUACGUAGGUGGCAAGCGUUAUCCGGAUUUAUUGGGCGUAAAGCGAGCGCAGGCGGUUUUUUAAGUCUGAUGUGAAAGCCCUCGGCUUAACCGAGGAAGCGCAUCGGAAACUGGGAAACUUGAGUGCAGAAGAGGACAGUGGAACUCCAUGUGUAGCGGUGAAAUGCGUAGAUAUAUGGAAGAACACCAGUGGCGAAGGCGGCUGUCUGGUCUGUAACUGACGCUGAGGCUCGAAAGCAUGGGUAGCGAACAGGAUUAGAUACCCUGGUAGUCCAUGCCGUAAACGAUGAAUGCUAGGUGUUGGAGGGUUUCCGCCCUUCAGUGCCGCAGCUAACGCAUUAAGCAUUCCGCCUGGGGAGUACGACCGCAAGGUUGAAACUCAAAGGAAUUGACGGGGGCCCGCACAAGCGGUGGAGCAUGUGGUUUAAUUCGAAGCAACGCGAAGAACCUUACCAGGUCUUGACAUCUUUUGAUCACCUGAGAGAUCAGGUUUCCCCUUCGGGGGCAAAUGACAGGUGUGCAUGAUUGUCGUCAGCUCGUGUCGUGAGAUGUGGUAGUCCCGCAACGAGCGCACCCUAUGACUAGUGCAGCAUUAGUGGGCACUCUAGUAGACUGCGUGACAACGAGAGGUGGGAUGACGUCAUCAUCAUGCCUUAGACUGCUACCCUGCUACAUGAUGGUACAACAGAUCGCGAGAACCGCGAAGUUC